CGGGAGACAUAGUCCCUCCAGCGUGUCCUGGAGGGACUAUGUAACGUUUAUAACGUUUAUUUGUAUAACAAUAUUUGACUGCAUCACCAAUGGGUAAUACAACGCUGAGCAUGUUUUUACGGUGGCCCUGAAGUGCAAAACACAACAACAAAUAGGAAAACACAACGGCAAAUACGAAAACACAACGGCAAAUAGGAAAACACAACGGCAAAUACGAAAACACUUCAACAAAUCAUGAAACACAACGACAUUAACUUCUAACGGAAAAGGUAGGGCCUAUCUAGCAGAGGACGGAACCUCCUGAUUGGACAGAAGGACCGCCUGUCUUUUAACAGGAAGGAGGGGUGAAAAAUACGGAAAAGCGCCUAUUUUCAAAACAUGAGUACUCCCGAAGAUACUUUCGCUAUUAUAAUGAAUUAUUUUGAUGCAGGGCAUACAUAAGACGUGGUAGUUGAUAUGUUGUCAACCAAUCACAACAUCAGGAUGAGUAUACGCACUUUGAAGUCACGUUUGAGAGAAGCACGGUUGUACAGAAGGGACAACUAUUCACAACUGGAUGAGGUGAGACGUGACAUCCUUACAGAGCUGCAUGGACCAGGGCAACUAUUCCGCUAUCUGGCAAGUACAGCAAAAACACAAUCUACGUAUUAAACGACACACAGUGAUGAGACUGCUGAAGCAACUAAAUCCACAACGGAUGCGAGAACAAGCCGGAGAAAAAGCGACUGCUGUGUCCCUAGAGGAUGUCCUGCUGUUUGCUACAGGGCUCGCAUCACUUCCACCUGCUGGAAUAACACCACUACCAUGCAUCGAGUUCUUACCAAAUUCGCCAUUCCCUAUGUCAAACACCUGUGGAAAUGCCCUAAAGCUCCUUUUCCUUGAGACCUACAGUGUCUUUUAGACAAACAUGGAGUUUUGCUUGCAGAAUUCUCCAGGCUUUGGGUGCAUUUAAUGCUGUGCCAAGUCUGAAUUUUGCCCAGUCUUAAAUCUGUAGUUUAUAAAGCAUAAGAGUGCAUGCUCAGUUCAAAGUAUUUUAAUGUGUAUUAUUUCUGUUCAUUACUUUGUUCAAUGAAAAAUCACAGAAAAAAUGUUAAGUACAGGUCACAUUACAAGUAACAGUAAAAUUGUACUAAGCUAAAAUGUAUGUAGUUUCACAUUUGAAACAGUGUAUAACAUGUUGUGCUUGCAAACAAGCUUGUUAACAAUACCUCUUGAAAAGAACCACGUUUCUUUGGUUGUUCAGACCUACAAUUGACACACAGUUAACUCGAUGGUGAAUCCGAAAAUAAACAAAUAUAGUUUGGGAGUUA